rnacentral:rRNA from 1 species
CCUGAACUCGGCAAAUUGCCCCCGUAACUUAGGGAGAAGGGGGGCCGGAGACGUGAAGCCCCGCGCGGGUGGAGCGUUGUAUGGCCGCAGAGAGCAGGGGGAAGCGACUGUUUACUAAAAACACAGGUCCAUGCGAAGAAGUAAUUCGAUGUAUAUGGACUGACGCCUGCCCGGUGCUGGAACGUUAAGGGGACCUGUUAGCUCUUCGGGGCGAAGCGGAGAACUUAAGCGCCAGUAAACGGCGGUGGUAACUAUAACCAUCCUAAGGUAGCGAAAUUCCUUGUCGGGUAAGUUCCGACCUGCACGAAUGGCGUAACGACUUCCCCACUGUCUCAACCACAGGCCCGGCGAAAUUGCAGUACGAGUAAAGAUGCUCGUUACGCGCGGCAGGACGGAAAGACCCCGGGACCUUUACUAUAGCUUGACAUUGGUACUCGAAUUAGCUUGUGUAGGAUAGGUGGGAGCCGGUGAAGUCCAUACGCCAGUAUGGGUGGAGGCAAUCUUGAAAUACCACUCUGGUUGAUUUGGGUAUCUAACUUCGGACCGUUAUCCGGUUCAGGGACAGUGUCUGGUGGGUAGUUUAACUGGGGCGGUUGCCUCCUAAAAGGUAACGGAGGCGCCCAAAGGUUCCCUCAGCCUGGUUGGCAAUCAGGUGUUGAGUGCAAGUACACAAGGGAGCUUGACUGUGAGACUGACAGGUCGAGCAGGGACGAAAGUCGGGACUAGUGAUCCGGCACUUGCGAGUGGAAGCGGUGUCGCUCAACGGAUAAAAGGUACCCCGGGGAUAACAGGCUGAUCUUCCCCAAGAGUCCAUAUCGACGGGAUGGUUUGGCACCUCGAUGUCGGCUCGUCGCAUCCUGGGGCUGUAGCAGGUCCCAAGGGUUGGGCUGUUCGCCCAUUAAAGCGGUACGCGAGCUGGGUUUAGAACGUCGUGAGACAGUUCGGUCCCUAUCCGCCGUGCGCGUAGGAUACUUGAGAAGGGCUGUCCCUAGUACGAGAGGACCGGGACGGACGAACCUCUGGUGUGCCAGUUGUCCCGCCAGGGGCACGGCUGGUUAGCUACGUUCGGAAGGGAUAACCGCUGAAAGCAUCUAAGCGGGAAGCCUGCUUCAAGAUGAGGUAUCCCACCCACUUUGUGGGGUAAGGCCCCCAGCUAGACGACUGGGUUGAUAGGCCGGAAAUGUAAGCCCGGUAACGGGUUCAGUUGACCGGUACUAAUAGGCCGAGGACUUGACUGA